rnacentral:rRNA from 1 species
CUGGCGGCGUGCCUAACACAUGCAAGUCGAGCGAGAAAGUGGAGCAAUCCAUGAGUACAGCGGCGCACGGGUGAGUAACACGUGACUAACCUACCCUCGAGUGGGGAAUAACUUCGGGAAACCGAGGCUAAUACCGCAUAAAACCCACGGGUCAAAGGAGCAAUCCGCUUGAGGAGGGGGUCGCGGCCGAUUAGUUAGUUGGCGGGGUAACGGCCCACCAAGACGAUGAUCGGUAUCCGGCCUGAGAGGGCGCACGGACACACUGGAACUGAAACACGGUCCAGACUCCUACGGGAGGCAGCAGUGGGGAAUUUUGCGCAAUGGGGGAAACCCUGACGCAGCAACGCCGCGUGGAGGAUGAAGUCCUUCGGGACGUAAACUCCUUUCGAUCGGGACGAUGAUGACGGUACCGAGAGAAGAAGCCCCGGCUAACUUCGUGCCAGCAGCCGCGGUAAUACGAGGGGGGCGAGCGUUGUUCGGAAUUAUUGGGCGUAAAGGGUGCGUANGCGGUUUGGUAAGUCUUAUGUGAAAUCUAUGGGCUCAACUCAUAGUCUG